rnacentral:rRNA from 1 species
UACGGAGGGGGUUAGCGUUGUUCGGAAUUACUGGGCGUAAAGCGCGCGUAGGCGGAUUAGAAAGUUGGGGGUGAAAUCCCGGGGCUCAACCCCGGAACUGCCUCCAAAACUACUAGUCUAGAGUUCGAGAGAGGUGAGUGGAAUUCCGAGUGUAGAGGUGAAGUUCGUAGAUAUUCGGAGGAACACCAGUGGCGAAGGCGGCUCACUGGCUCGAUACUGACGCUGAGGUGCGAAAGUGUGGGGAGCAAACAGG